rnacentral:rRNA from 1 species
CUCGUACCUUUUGCAUCAUGGUCUAGCAAGAAACCUUAAGCAAAGCGCAUUAAAGUUUAACCCCCCGAAACUAGACGAGCUACUCCGAGGCAGCUAUAAGAGCAAACCCAUCUCUGUGGCAAAAGAGUGGGAAGACCCCCGAGUAGAGGUGACAAGCCUACCGAGUUUAGUGAUAGCUGGUUACUCACAAAGAGAAUAUUAGUUCUGCCUCAUAAUUGUUUCAAGCACUAUAAAGCAAACAACAAGCUUGAGAGUUAGUCAAAGGGGGUACAGCCCAUUUGACUUAGGAAACAACCUAACACCCAGGGUAAAGAUUAUAAUAAACAAGGGGUCUGACCUAGUGGGCCUAAAAGCAGCCACCUAUUAAGAAAGCGUCAUAGCUCUAUCAGUUCCUGAUCCAACAAUCCCAAUAACCACUCUGACCCCUCCUAGUAGUGAGCCCUCCUAUAUACAUAUAGAAUUGUUUAUGCUAGAACUAGUAACUAGAAUAAUUCUCCUGAUGCAAGUGCACAUCAGCCCGAAACACUCACUGAUAACUAACGACUACUGAACCCACUGUAGUAACACUACCGGAAAAACCUACAUUAGCCAUCGUUAACCUAACACAAGAGCAUCCCAGAAAAGAUUUAAAGACGUGGAAGGAACUCGGCAAACACGAACUUCGCCUGU